AAGUACAUAUUAGUGGGACGGGUGAAAUGUAGUAUCUGCUUGGCUGAAUACACGAGACGUGCUAAUCGGAUGUCUUUACAGAAAGCUUUAUGCCAGGAUGAGCCUGCACUUGAUUAUUUGUGGUGGUAAUGGCCUACCAAGACUGUGAUCAAUACUGAUUUGAAGGAUGAUCAGCCACAUUGGGACUGAACACGGCCAAACUCCUACGGGAGGCAGCAUGGGGAAUCUUGCACAAUGGAGAAACUCUGAUGCAGCGAUUGCCCGCGUGAGUGAAGAAGGCCUUUGGGGUUGUAAAGGCUCUUUCGUACGGGGAAGAAAAUGACUGUACCCGAAUAAGAAGGUCCGGCUUAACUUACGUGCCAGACAGCCGGCGGAUAAUACGAAGGGACCUAGCGUAGUUCGGAAUUACUGGGCUUAAAGAGUUCGUAGGUGGUUGAAAUAGUUGGUUGCGUGCAAAUCCCAGAGCUUAACUCUGGAACUGCAUCAAAACUUUUCAGCUAGAGUAUGAUAGAGGAAAGCAGAAUUUCCUAAGGGUUUGGGGGUUACGAGGUGAAAAUUCGGUAGAUAUUAGAAAGAAUAACCAAUUGCGAAGCAGUUCUGGAUCAUUAUGACCUGAGAAGAGCUGGGUACGAAAGAUAAUACCUCUAUCAUGCGUAACAUGUGUGUAAGUGGAAUUUUUAGGUCGCAGGAAGGAUAAAACG
rnacentral:rRNA from 1 species